rnacentral:misc_RNA from 1 species
GAUGAAAGAACGUAGCGAAAUGCGAUACGUAAUGUGAAUUGCAGAAUUCAGUGAAUCAUCGAAUCUUUGAACGCAUAUUGCGCUCUCUGGUAUUCCGGAGAGCAUGCUUGUUUGAGUAUCAGUAAACACCUCAACUUCCAUAUCUUUUUUGAAAUGGGAGUUGGACUUGAGUGAUCCCAACGCUUUUCCUCACCGAAAAGUGGCGGGUUACUUGAAAUGCAGGUGCAGCUGGACUUUUCUCUGAGCUAUAAGCAUAUCUAUUUAGUCUGCCUAAAAAACAGAUUAUUACCUUUGCUGCAGCUAACAUAAAGGAGAUUAGUUCUUGUGCUGACUGAUGCAGGAUUCACAAAGACAGGCUUCGGCCGACUUUGUAAACUCGAUCUCAAAUCAAGUAAGACUACCCGCUGAACUUAAGCAUAUCAAUAAGCGGAGGA